GGAAGAACGGCAGAAGCAGUGAAGGGUCUCCACAACGAAGACUUUGAAGGAGUGUCCACUGGGAUCCACCACCCCGCUUUCUUCUUCUCAGGUGUGUUGGACCAGUGUGUGGUCAGCUAGCUCUGCUGAUGAAGAAAUUGAAUGUUUCACAGGAGUUAUACUUCUUCAAGGCCA